AGGAAUCGAACCGUUCCCUCUUGUAAUCCCGAUCUGGUUUUCCUUGAAGAACCUCAGAAUUUAGAAGUAGCUGAAGGAGAUCUAUUCCAGCCGGGGUGCCGGGUCAGCGACCAAGAUGCAACCCUGACAUGGCUCAAAGAUGGGCAAAGGUUGGAUUCAGGUGCUGUAGACGGUAUCUUCAUCAACCAUCUCAACCAACUAAUCAUUCCAAGCUUCGAUGCACGACACGGAGGAAACUACUCGUGCGUUGUAUACUCUGGAGACAGGGAAUGCAUAAGAUCAGAGGCCAGUAUAACUUUCGACCCCCGAAGCUACUUCGAAUUCGUUCCCGUGAAUGCGUAUGUCGAUAUCGGUGACGAUCAUCAGUUCCUGUGCUCUCCCAUAGAAAACACAUGGACUGUCAUCUGGGAGAAGGAUGGGCGACCGCUGGAACAAGGAAACCUU